AUUGAACGCUGGCGGCAGGCUUAACACAUGCAAGUCGAGCGGUAACAGAGAGAAGCUUGCUUCUCUGCUGACGAGCGGCGGACGGGUGAGUAAUGCCUAGGAAUCUGCCUAGUAGUGGGGGAUAACUUGCCGAAAGGUAAGCUAAUACCGCAUACGUCCUACGGGAGAAAGGAGGGGACCUUCGGGCCUUUCGCUAUUAGAUGAGCCUAGGUCGGAUUAGUUAGUUGGUGAGGUAAUGGCUCACCAAGACCGCGAUCCGUAACUGGUCUGAGAGGAGGAUCAGUAACACUGGAACUGAGACACGGUCCAGACUCCUACGGGAGGCAGCAGUAGGGAAUAUUGGACAAUGGGUGGAACCCUGAUCCAGCCAUGCCGCGUGUGUGAAGAAGGUCUUAGGAUUGUAAAGCACUUUAAGUUGGGAGGAAGAGCAGUUAACUAAUAUUUGACUGUUUUGACGUUACCGACAGAAUAAGCACCGGCUAACUUCGUGCCAGCCGCCGCGGUAA
rnacentral:rRNA from 1 species